UGAAAUUUAAAAUUGGAAAACUGCGACCUUUUUUGUCUCUCAAGUAUUUCUGUUGUCGUCUCGUUCAAUUGAACCCUUUUAUGUCUUUUUUAAUUCAUAUCAAAUAGUGUUUAUACUUUUUGUUAUUUGAACAGUAAUUACACUCUAUCAAACAACAGUAUUUUGUGGUUAUACUUUUUUGAAACCUGCACAAACAGAGAUUGCUAAAUAAUUUUGAAAAAGAAUAACUUUAUCCAUUAUGCUUUAUAAAAUUGAACGUAAUAUUCACACCAGACUUCAUAGCAAUGAAUUUGUCGUCAUAAACAGGUCAUGGAUGACGAGCAUAUUCUUUUUAUCAUACUCGGCAUUAAACCGGUCAUGGAUGACGAGAAUUUUUUUUUUAUCAUACUCGGCAUUCAACAGUUCAUAGAGGACGAGCA
rnacentral:lncRNA from 1 species